rnacentral:rRNA from 1 species
GAUGAACGCUGGCGGCGUGCCUAAUACAUGCAAGUCGAACGCUGAAGGAAGGAGCUUGCUCUUUCCGGAUUAGCUGCGAACGGGUGAGUAACGCGUAGGUAACCUGCCUGGUAGCGGGGGAUAACUACUGGAAACGAUAGCUAAUACCGCAUAAUAGUAUAUGUCGCAUGAUUUAUACUUAAAAGAUGCAAUUGCUCUACCAUCUAGAUGACCCGCGUUGUAUUAGCUAGUUGGUUAGGUAACGGCUUACCAAAGCCAAGGUACCUUACCGACCUUGGAGGGUGAACCGCCAACCCGGGACUUGGGCACCGGCCAGGACUCCUCGGGGAGCAAGAGUAGGGGAACUUUGGGAAUGGACGGAAGGCUGAACGAGCAACGCCGGGUGGGGGAAGGAGGUUUUCGGGACGUAAAACUCUGUUGAAAGAGGAGAACGAGUGUGAGAGUGGAAAGUUCACGCUUUGACGGUAUCUUACCAGAAAGGGACGGCUAACUACGUG